rnacentral:piRNA from 1 species
UCUCAUUACAUAAAGUCCCCACUGCUC